CCAAGGCAGGAGGGGUGGAACAAGAUGAUUUUUAAGGUCCCUUCCCAACCAAACCAUUCUGGGAUUCCAUGACUAUAAAACCAGUGCCCUGACUCGGAUCCUUUGUGGGGUGUUGGGGAAUCUGAGCAACAUCCCCUGUGCCAAAGAAGCUUUUACCUAUCUGGGGCAGCUCCAGCCCAGGGGGGAAGUAACAGCACUUGCACUCUGGAAAAUCAAAAGCUUUGACCUCAGCCAAGGUCACUGUGUGGUACAGGCAAUUUUUAGGGUGUUCACUGAGAAAGCACAGAUUUAUGGCACUUCCUGCCAAUGUGGCUUCAUGGAAGAUGCUUUUGGGAGAGUUGAACACUGGAAGACACUGCUUUGGGUCCUGGUACUGCUGGGCAACUCUCCUUUUUCAGGCUGAAAUCCCUCUCUGUUUAAUUUAACUCUGUAGGUGUUUGGGGAAGAGGAGAUAGGAAAUGCAGGGAUGGCUUUGGAGAGGCACCUUAUUUGCUUUGUUGUUGCAGGGAUCUGACAUCCAAAACGUUGGUUUAGCCGCACACAUCUAGCCAUGACAUCCAGGGAAAUGCUCACUUUGAGUUUGAAGAUGGGAGAGUCACCAUCAUCAUCCUCUUCAGGAUCAUCAUCUUCAUCAUCAACACAUGUGGGACUGUGAACCUCCUUCAUAAAAACCAACUCAAACACCAGCCUCACAGACACCCAUGGCAGCAAAAAGAGCAGCCUAUGAUUCUUCCCUCUUGGAAUGACUCCCUUUCUUGUCCCUGCUGCUCUGCCAUCCCAGAUGGAGCCUGGUAGCAACCAUCCUUCAUCCUUGCCGAACGUCCCCCCUAAAGCCUUCGAGGUGUGAGUUCAACGGAAAAUUCAUAUAUUUAAUUCUUUAAAUAUAUAUAUAUGUAUAUUAAAAAAAUUAAAAUUUGAGACAAAAAGUUCUAAAGAGCAGUUGCUGCGAGAAGCUAGAAAGCGUGUGGGAAUGGAGCAUAUUCCCGGGGUUUUGGCAUUCUGCUUUUGUGUCUAUUAAUAAUCCCCUGGAGUGAGUCAUAUGGAGCUGCAUUUAUUCACUGACUCGGAGUGAGCUGCUACCCAAAAUAGCAGCUCUGUAAUUUUUUAUGAUGCUGUAAUGCCAGUGCAGUGAAGAUUGACAUCAUUUGAGGGAGAUGCUCCAGCCUGGCACUCAGAGAACCCGUGUCCAGCCCCACAAGGAACGUGCAGAGCCACGUGCUCUGUUACAUAAAAGCGCCGGAGAGCCAGCACGGGCGGAGAUGCCUUUUCUGUCCUCACCUGUGCAUCUUUUGCCUGGAUUUUCCCCCUUUAGGCCUUCUAAGCCUUCUUUGCUCAUUUUCUUCAAUCACAAGGAGCAUUGGGCCAGAGGAUGAUGAGGAAAUGGCUUUUUGCUGCGGAGGGGAGCCUCAAGCACACCUCAAACCAUCAGCCUGCCUGCCAGGAGAAGAGGUCCAUACGGAAAUCCUGAAAUGCAUCAAAUUCAGCUCAUCCUUUUUCUCACCCACGUUGCUGCUCCGUGUCCCUUCCUGAACCCCUGAGCAUCCCCUGGGCCAAGGCCUGUGCCCAAAAUCUGCGGGCUCCUUCCCAGCCCAGUGUUCCCGACCAGUGGCAGCCCCGGGCGAAGGGCAGAGAAACGCUGGGGUACGGUUUGGGUUGGGUUUUUUAAGGAUGAAUCUGGUUUUCUGGAUUGCUUCUCAUUCUCUGCCCUGCACUGCUGCCUUCAGGUCUGUCUUGGAGUGGCAGCCAGUGGGGCAUCUGAGACAUCCCAGGGUGGCCCCACUGCUCCCCAAAAACUGGUACCUCUGGGUACCAGUGAGUACCGCACAGGCUUUGUGGAACAAUUUUGGCUAAAAUGCCUCUGCAGGGGUCCCAGCCCUGGUGCCCUGGCAUCACACUGCACUCUCUACCAAAGGAUUAGGAAAGAUGAAUUUGCCCGUGCUGGGGAUUAACAGCCUGGGUGAACUUCCCCAGGUAAACAGUGUUUUAUAGGCUCCAUUCCAGCUGGAAAUGUUUAUUAACGUCAUCUAUUCAUGGAGUGCUUUGGGAGAAAAUGGAACUCCUGCCACAGCAGCUUUGGGCCGAUGUGACUGAUGGCAUGAGCAGCAGCUGAGGCUGAAUUUUGGUCAGAGCAGCUCAAGUCCUUCAGGUGACCUGCAUGGAAAAUGGAAAUGUGACAAAUGAGUAACAGGCCCUCAAUACAACCACUGGCGUAAGUUAAUAAAUGGUUUUAAUAGGAGGGGUGAGGACCUGGUGCCACCAUGCCUCCCUUGUCCUUCAGGCAUCCAUCCAUGCAAGGAGCAUCCCAGGGGAGUGGGAGUAUCAGGAACCUGUUCAGACCCAGAAAUAAACACCUCAAUUGUCCUGAUUUCUUGUUAUAAAAGAAAUACACGGAGGGGCAGGACCCACCCUGGCUGUCAAUUCUGUUUUGUCUUUGCCUUUGAAGCAAUCACAUCCCUCUGCCCGUACAGGCAGCACCUCUGAUGACCCCUGAACUAGGUGCAGGACACUUGCAGAGUGUUCUGCCUCGAAGGAGACAGAAAGGGCCUUUGCUCCAAAAUACUCCAGUCCCUAAGUCCUGAUGUUCCCAGAACAUAAGGAAGAGUAGGCUGAAGAAAUUUAGCACUUCCCUAGCAAGGCUGACAAGGGUUUCUACUUCAUAAACACUGCUCAGCACUUGAACAAGGACUUGAAUUUAGGGCUCCUGCAUCUUAAUCCUAAUUUUCCUAAUCCUAACUUCCAUAGAGGAAAAACUGGUAGGAGUAGAGGUGGUGGAGGAGAGCUCGUAACAGAGGAAGGAUAAGGGAUAUGCCCCUCCAAGACUCACCUCAUCAGGCCCAAGUGAGACCUGGCUUUUUCAUUCUAAAUUAAACAGGUUCAGCAGUCAAAAUGAACUUUUGAGGGUCUGUGUUGCGGUGCUUGGUUUCCUGCGUUGGUUCAGCAAGCUGCAAGCUUCCCAGAGCACGCAGCGGGGCUGCUUGGGGAGAGCAGCUGUCCCGCUUCCCGUAGCCCUUUGGGGCGGCCCCGCGCUCCUGCUCCGGCCAGCUGGGCUCCGCAACACGGUGAUGGUAAAGGAGGCAGAAGGGUCCCUGCAUGGCGACCACAGAGGAACUUUUAUUCACAUGAUGACCAGCCGGUCCCCAGAGAGACCACGUAGGCAGGGAGCCAGGGGUUUUCUCAGAUUGCAGGGACGGUACAUGGGCAGAGUUGGGGUACUGGAACCGAUAGGGAGAACCAGAGGGAGCAGCCAGGACUAGGGGCAGGGAAGGGGGGACAAUGUGGAAAAGGCAGACAAUUUAGUAAGAAAAGGAGUGGGGAAAUACAGCACCACAGGUCUGGAUUUUGGAUUUUAAAAAUAAAUGUUAAUAAUAAAAUAGUAACGUCUGAGUCAUAGAGAAGAGAGGUUGAAAUAGUCCAAUGAGAUCUGGUUGCUGAGAGCCUGUCCAGUUUCAAUUCUAGACUGAAAAGGUGGUGUUUUGGUUAUUACAAUACCUCUGGGUUCAGCCAAUCUCCCGGUAAAAAUUCCAGGCUUCUCCAGGGUGGCAGCUGUGAAUCUGCUCCAACCCCUCACCAAAGCUGCCAGUGAAGGAUUGGUGACUGCCUUGCUGAAAAUGACAGCCAAGAGCAAUGCAGAAAUGAGCAUCAGUUCAGCACAGCUUGACCAGAAUAUUUACAUUUUAUUAAAUCUUUACAAUCAGCAGUUAUAAUCAAGUACACAAUUCUGUACACGGAUUAUGUACAUUUUAGCCCAGACUUUUACAUCACAGUACAUAGUUGCCCCUAGAAAUAUUGUGUACACUUAUCACCAGCGAGUAAAACCCAACAACAGUGUUACAGCACCUGGUAUUUGACAUCUUCCAUAAGAAAAUAUACGGCUGUAAAUUGGUCUGGCUAAAAAAAAAAAAAAAAAAAGCAACAAACCAAAAAUCUUAUAAAAUCUGAACAUACAAUUUUCAUUCACAGAAUGGUUUGUUUUCUAUGUUCUGACUGAUGCCUGUUGCAUAAGAUGUCCUGUUUUUCACCUCUCAACACACACUCACUGGUGCCUACUCAGGGACACUGGCAGGAGGAGGAGAACCAGAGCUGGGCUCAUUCUCAAACUUCAUUAAGAAACAAUAAAUGUAAACAAUUAAGAAGAUUCCUCUAAGAUCAAAUGAGAAAUUAAUUGGCUGAAUUAUAUGGCAUGGAAUAAGUGCUAGUUGCAGCUGUGAUUCCUGAAUUCUUCAGUGUUCAAUACCAUACAAGGAAAUGUACAAUGCUAUACACAAAGGGUGAUUCCUGAUUAAUGAUCUACAAGCAAUAUUCCAUAUGCAGGGAGCAGACUUACAAACAUUUGGGAAGAAAAUACUCUCCCCUUUCCAAAAGGGUUUUUCUUUUCGAUGAAUACAUUCUUUCUGCUUUUUAAGAUGACAGUAACAGAAAACUGAAUUCUUUCCAGAAUGAUAUGAACAGGUUAAACUAAAGCCUAUGUCCUCAUAAGGAAAUAGAGUGAAAAUAACCUGAAUAAAACUGUCCCCCCAAUUUAAUCCUCUUUCCCAAAAGGUCAGCCUUGCCUGAUUCAGUUCUGUAAACAAAGCUAUGGCUCUUGUGAUGGUUUCAAAGGUGAAGGAGAACUAAAUGAAACAAAAACCACCCCAGAAGGAAGGAGGCAACAAUUAUCUGAGGUAGGCCACCACCAAAAUGCUGCCCUAAAUCCAUAUGGAGUUCUGGGAUCCCUGGAAAUCCCUGAAAAGGUAAUGCCUGCUGCUCUACUAACAGGUGUAGAGAAAGCAGUUACUAAAAAUGAGCUGGUGAUGGCAGAGAAAGUUAACCUUUUAAUAAAAUUUGAUGUCUACACCUAAAUCUGCAAGUAAAAAAAAGAAAACCCUUAGCUGCUAUAUUGAGAGAGUAAUGACCAGAAGCCUCUAGGAUAUAAAAAUAACUCUAUUUCCACCAAAAGAGCUACCAAGAAGGAAGAUGAUGUCCAUGUCAAAGAGCAUGGGAACAAA